UUUUUUUUUUAAGGUUUCCUUUGCUAUGCAAAAGCUUGUCAAUUUGAUUAGGUCCCAUUGGUUUAUUUUUGCUUUUAUUUUUGUUGCUUUGGGAGACUGACCUGAGGAGACAUUUAUAAGGUUGAUAUCAGAGAGUAUUUUUGCCUGUGUUCUCUUCUAGGAGCUUGAAGGUGUCUUGUCUUACAUUUAAGGCUUUAAGCCCUUUUGAGUUUAUUUUUGUGCAUGGUGUGAGAGUGUGUUCCAGUUUCAUUGAUUUACAUGCAGCUGUCCAGGUUUCCCAGCACCACUUGCUAAAAAGACUGUCUUUUUCCUAUUAUAUAUUCUUGCCUCCUUUGUUGAAGAUUAAUUGACCAUAGGUAUCUGGGCUUUAUAUUACAAUUUAUUUUGGUUGAUUAUGAAACUUUCUUUUUAAGAUUGAGACAUUUAUUUUCUAGUGUAUUUUAAAGCUUUAUUUUAUUUUUUGUAGCCAUUAUCUGACCUAGUAUUCUAGUUGUGCUGUUUGGGCCUUGAUGGUUAGUAGUGGAUUUAAAAAAUUUUAUUAAUCUGGUUGUUAUCUUAUGCAUUAAAAUUUGCUGUACCCUCAGUAAAAUGAUUAAAUAUGACUGAAAUGUACAGGAUUACUUUACUGAAAACAGCUGUGUGCCCGAUCAUCUCACAAGGCAUUUAAGAAUAUUCGUCACUCUUUUCAGUUGAAAAUGUAGGCAAAAAUAGUUCAAACUGAAUCUUUUUACUUAUUAUACUUAGUAGUUCUGUUUCUUUUCCUUCUUUUUCCAAUUUUUAAAGGAAAAUCUGCAGACCCUUGGAACAGAAAUAGAACGUCUUGUUAAACACCAGCAUGAACUGGAGCAGAGGACAAAGAAGAACUGACACAAAGCUCUUGUUCAGAAAACAGACGAAAGCCACACAAGGAGCAGGUGCCACUGCCUAGUAUCAUUGGAAGCUUUUCCCUGCUUUGUGUAUUAACCAGUAAAAAAUCUGUUUUGCUUCCUCUGUAUAAAAAAGUACCUUUUACAAUAUAAAUGCAUUGCUGUGUAUACUGUAAAAGUGUAAGCUUUGACGAAACUUGUUUUUGUGUGGUGACAGCCUGUUUUUAAGUCAGAACAACUUAAUUUGCUAAUAAUCAUAUGAAGUGCUGAACCUUACUCCAAGGGCUUUUGAAAACCCCUUCUCCAUAUUUCUUCCCUUUAAAAUAUAUAAUGUCAAAAAUGAUUUUGCUUUCUAAAAUUAUGCAUGAAAGGACAGGUGUUGAUCAUUCAGUAAUAUGCUAUUUCUCCAACACAAAACUAAGAAAGUGAUAAAAACUUUUGUUUUGACAUUCUGACAUGACACUUGCUUGUGUGUUAGGGAUCCCAAUGAAUUCUUAAAUCUUUUGGUUUUGAUGGAAGCUAAUAGGAAAGCUAGCUUUCGGUAAAUAGCAAUGAUCAGGUGUUGUAUGCCUCUGUCAGGUUUCCUUAUUUGUGCUAGUUACUUUUUUUUUCAGAUUCUGAUUGAGUUAAUAGUUGAGUUUUUAAACAUCUUCAGUUGUGUAAAAUAUGAUUUUAAAUAAUCUCAUUUAGAAAAUUUCUCUGGACUUGAGUUAUAUUUUAAAAUGUGAAAUGGAUUAGUCAUUAUACAGAGAGAUUAAUAAUGAAUUCUUUGAAACUGAAAGACAUUAGUUUUACUAAUAUCAAGUAUAUAAAGAUCAAUUUAAUGCAUUUAUGAAGAACCAGUUCCCAAGAGAAUCCAGCAUAUGGCACUGUUAACCAUUUCAUCUGUGCACCACCGUUCAUUACUGUUGGUAUAAUUAUGUGUUAUAGUGGAGUGAUCUUACAGUUCCUAUAUGUAAUGUGUUUCAGUAUAUUUAUUUAAAACACGAAAUAAUUAAAUCUCUGUAACCAAAGGAAUUCCAGAGCCAAAUUUAUGUAUACUGUUAGAUUUUUACUAUAUUUAUUUAAGAUGUGCACUUAAAUUUGCCAGUCAUAAUAUCAGUAUUUCUAUAUCAUUGAAUUUUUUUCUCAUCUCUUAAAAUUUCUCACCUAUUACAAUUUGUGUGUGGUUUUUCACAUUUCUGUAUAUUCAGAUCAUUUCUAUACCUUCUAUAGAUACCUUGGCACUAUGCAGAUGUUGCAGCAAGCCUCAUUAUUGUUUUGGAUUUUUGCAUCCUUCUUUGUCCCCUUAGGAGAAGUGAGCUUUGGGAUGAUGGAUUAAAACCCUUUAAAGAAUUGUAUGGUUCUAAAAGUUGGGCUGGGUUUAUAGUGGCAAUGCCCCUGUAACGUGUUUUAACAUUUUUUAAAAUAUCAAUGUUGUUUUAAAAGAUCAUUUACUAAGGAUUAGAUGAUUCAAUGUAACAUCUUAUUUUUCUGUAUACUGAGUGAUAUGUUGUCAUCCCAGGCCAAAAUCUUUUCACUUCAAAAUGGAAAUAUAAGUUCAAAAACAUACUUAAAAUAGCUGUAAAAAGUUUUAGUCUUACCGUAAUGUAUCUUGUUAUCAGUAAUAAUGUAUCAAAAUGAAAUACGGUAAGUUCAAUCACAUCUGAAAUAUUUUCCCAGUUGUUUUUGACAAUACUGUUGAUACUUCCAGAGAUUAGAGUAGCCAACAUAACUAAAUUUUUACAGCUUCUUAUGUGAUUUAGAUUCAUACACUACAAUAUUUGUUUUUUCCUCCAAGACACAAAAUGUAUUGAUGGAGAUCAAAUAGUGGUCAGAUCCAUAGUGUUCUGUGUGUAUACACUUAAAAAAAAAACUAUGUGCACACACACGUUUUUCAUAUAUGUAUAUUAUAUAUGAAAAUGAAACAUUUCAAUAUUAACAUCUGUGCCAGCAUUCAUUUAGAGAAGUUUACUGGUAAAACAAUUUUAGAAGAAAGCUGUUAUAAACUAUCUUUGAUUUAUUGUUACCCCCCCCAUAAACGUAAGGAACUAUAGAAAACUUGAAGAAAAUGCUUUAUUUUCCUAUUGUGCUUUAGUUUCUACUAUAUCCUUUUGUACAUAGAUCAGGACUAAGCAAAGUGUGUACAAAAAUAUGAAUUUAUCAGAUCCCUAAACUGACUCACAAGCAGAUUCUGAUAUAAGCUUUUAGAGUGCCCAUUACUAUAUUGAAUAUAUGGAGAGAAAAAUGGGGUGUCUAGAAAAGGAAAAUGGUCUGGCUAAACUUGAGGUCUGGGGGAAAUUUUGUUUUACGUGUUCAUUAUUAAUUGAACACCUCAAAGGCUCUUUUGGUUAGUCAGCACUAUUUUGGUUUCUUUGAGCAGGAAAUCUUUUUUUCUGUGUGUAUAUAUUUGUGUGUACACCUAACUAGAUUUUAAUUUCAAAGUGAAUACUUACUGUGACUCUUUUUCCCACACCACUUCAAACUUUAGCCUAAGUUUUAAGGGUUGAAAAUGGUGGGCUUGGGCAGAAUGAAUUUAAACUUCAGUGUUUUAUUUUUAAACUUACUCUUCAUAACCAUUUAAAGCAAUUUAUCUUGAAAUUAAAUUUUAUCAGGCUACCAACAUCUUACUUACUCAUGUAAUGAACACAUUUUUUUUGAAAACCUGUAAUUGCCAGGUACCACACAAGUUAGGUAUCAUCAUUAUACUGUGGACAGACCAGACAGGGCAGUUCCUGUCCUCAUGGAGCUUAUGGUCUAGUGAAAACAGCCGAGAGGAAGUGGAAGCAGAGGCUCUUUAAGCCUCUGCAGCUCACUGCCAGACCCUGUCAGAAGAAAGUUCACUCGUGGAAGCAGUUCACCCAGAAGUCUUACUCUGGCCUAAAGCUUUGGGAAAUGAAUCCUUGCUGAGGUAGGCUGAGAGCAGAUUGCCAUUUUCAUGCUGGUUCUUUACAGUUCCUAACUUUUUUUCACAGUUUGAUGUUUGUUUUUUAAGAAGAAGGAAAAAAUCCAAAGACCGUAAAAUGGCAUUCGAUUUUUGCCAUUUUAGUAAAUUAUUAUUGUCUACUUGAUGCUCCUAUAAGAUGAAUCUAAUCAACUUGUCAUGUAUAUUUCCAAAUUUUGUUUUGUAGUAUAUUAUUUUCUAAAGAUUUUUACCUGGAAUUUUAGACCAAGAUUUACCAGUAGAAGGAAAAAAGCAUUAGAAACCAUUAAUAUUGUAAAUGUUAUAUAUGCUACCUUGGUGAAAAUAUUUUUAUCAAUCAUGUUAUUCAGUAUUGUUAAUUUGCCUUAUAAAUGUUAGUUCUAGUAGUUUAUCUUCCAAUACCUUUUUAAAACAAUUCUUUUUGGACACUGAGAUUGUUCAUUUUUAACACCAGUAGGUGGCACUAGAAAUGUGAAGGUUUUCAAGGCUGAACAGGAGAAGAUAAUCAAAAAAAGAAUCAAAACAGAAUUUUCAGUAAAAUAAAUGAGAAAUAUAAUUGUAUAUUAAAGAUGUAUUUUUUCUUCUGGAAUGAAGUUCUUUUUUAAAAUGCAUAUGGCUUUCCAUUUUGACUAUAUGAAACUUGUUAUCUUCCAAAGUUCAUAUAUAUAUGUGUGUGUGUGUGUAUGCACUGUACAGAUAAUCUUUAGUUUGAUUACACUGUUCAUUUUGUAAAUAUGUUUCUGUAUAAAAUGAAGCUUUUUGAGAUAAUUUUAUGUAUAUAUUGUACUUAUUAAAUAGGUAAUGCCUGUUUACCA
rnacentral:lncRNA from 1 species